AUUGAACGCUGGCGGCAUGCUUUACACAUGCAAGUCGAACGGUAACAGGCCGCAAGGUGCUGACGAGUGGCGAACGGGUGAGUAAUGCAUCGGAACGUGCCCAGUCGUGGGGGAUAACUACUCGAAAGAGUAGCUAAUACCGCAUACGAUCUAUGGAUGAAAGCGGGGGACCGUAAGGCCUCGCGCGAUUGGAGCGGCCGAUGUCAGAUUAGGUAGUUGGUGGGGUAAAGGCUCACCAAGCCAACGAUCUGUAGCUGGUCUGAGAGGACGACCAGCCACGCUGGGACUGAGACACGGCCCAGACUCCUACGGGAGGCAGCAGUGGGGAAUUUUGGACAAUGGGCGCAAGCCUGAUCCAGCAAUGCCGCGUGCAGGAAGAAGGCCUUCGGGUUGUAAACUGCUUUUGUACGGAACGAAACGGCUCUGGUUAAUACCCGGGGCUAAUGACGGUACCGGAAGAAUAAGCACCGGCUAACUACGUG
rnacentral:rRNA from 1 species